rnacentral:lncRNA from 1 species
UUCUGGGAAACCUGUACAGCUGCCAAUAAUUGGACUAAAAAAUGCAGAGGCUCCAGCUUGGCUGGCAGGAUGAAUACAGCGUAGGGAGAGAAAAGGGCUUCCCAGGCCCAGCUCCCCAAAAGCCAGUGGAUACGGGGGAAAGGGCUGUGUUGAUGCUCCCAGGAGGAACUUCCAAUGAAGCCAAGGACUCUGGGGCUUGAGUGGACUCUCUGCCCAGAACUCUCAUCCUGGACGUUUGGCCACCUGUGAGGAAAAGAGGCAUUUGAUUUUCUGCAGAGGUCAACUCUUGUAAAAGCCUCUGUUCCUCAUCCUUCAACAGAGCAGCCACAUGUAUCAUUCCAGGCCCCACUUAAAAUCAGAAAACCUAAGUGGGCACAGGAACAAGCUCAGGCUUUAAACUGCUUGUUGCUGGUGUAAUGUGUGAAUAGUGCAUCUUUGGUGUAGAUUCUAAAACAAAACUUGGAGAGCAACCCUGGUGACAGUGGUCACAGGCAGAGUCUGCUGUAUCUGUCCCCCAAACUUAUGCCUUCCUCCACACUGAGCAGCACCAGCAAAGGGUGCUUGUGAAUCAGGAUGUUGUUAAACAAGCUGGGAGAAGAGAAACCACA